rnacentral:piRNA from 1 species
UAGGCACUGAGAAUGCAAAGUCUAUCUGC